UAUAGGCAGCAUCCCUGCGGUCCCAGCCUUCACUCUCUCUCUCUCUCUGCGCUGCCUGUCUGAAUACAGUCUACAGCAGAGUGCAACGAGUUACCACAGACAGACAGAGAGCAGACUGGCUGGUUGGAACGGCGCGUUUCCGAUACAACACUGCAUCGUUGUUUCAGAGCGGAGAGAAGGCAGACUAUAACACAGGUACCUACGGGUCUUCGCAGAUAGAGAGGCAGAAAUGUUGGUCAAAUUUGCAAUAGCGCUGCUGGUUUUGUCAGUUUUGGAGCAAGUAGUGGGAUUGGAUAAUAUCAAUGUUCAUGACAACCCGUCAGAAAAACCGGCGAACCAGAAAGGACGUAUGUCUCUGCAGAACACAGCUGAGAUCCAGCACUGUCUGGUGAGUGCCGGAGACGUGGGCUGUGGUGUGUUUGAGUGUUUUGAGAACAACUCCUGUGAGAUCAGAGGCCUGCAGGAGAUCUGUCUAACCUUCCUACACAACGCCGGAAAGUUUGAUUCCCAGGGUAAAUCGUUCAUCAAGGAUGCUCUGAGGUGCAUGGCCCACGGCCUGAGACACAAGUUCAGCUGCAUCAGCAGGAAGUGCUUGGCCAUUAAAGAGAUGGUGUUCCAGCUGCAGAGAGAGUGCUACCUCGGACACAACCUGUGUUCUGCAGCCAAGGAGAACGUUGCUGUCAUGGUGGAGAUGAUCCACUUCCAGGACCUCUUCCCUAAAGGGCCGUAUGUGGAGCUGGUCAACAUCCUACUGAGCUGUGGGGAGGAGGUGAAGGAGGCCUUAACCAGGAGCGUCCGGCUGCAGUGUGAGCAGAACUGGGGGGCUCUAUGUGACAGCCUGAGUGUCUGCUCUUCCCUCACCCCCCCUCCCGGCCAGGCCCCCUCCUCCCCCGACCACCGCCGCCACGGGUCUCCCCACUCUGAACCAGACCAACCACGACCCCCCCGACAGGGGGACAAGGACAAGUCCAGUAAAGGAGGCUUCAAUGUCCACCCCCGCAGCCGCAGCCAGGGUCCCCGCCGACAGAGCCCCGAGGCUGGGGUGGUGGCGGAGCAGGAAGACCCUGAGGCCACAGACAUCCGGAGGUGAAAGAGACAUUGGACCCUAACUAUCCUGAUUCUCCCCCCGACCGUGUCACCAUCGCAGCCCCCCCCACAUACACACGUACUAAGACACACAGACAGAUACUGUACAUGCAAAAACACACAUACACGCACAUCUACACACAGACUCUCUCUCCAGUCAUUCCAGCAGUCCCAAAUGGUAAAUCUGCAGGUAACAUGGUGUAGCUCGUUCAGUUACUCCAGAUUGUAGUCCACCGACGUUGUUUCUGUUUAUUAUUGAAAUAUAAUAAGUAUUAUUAUCCUGAUUUAGGACAUUUUUGGCCUCUAAUAUAGCGUUUCUCAAAUCGUACUCACUGUAACAUUUCAUUAUAUUUGUAUUAUUUAUUUUAUUCUUUAUGCAAUGUUUAAAUAUCCAAAUGUACAUAGAAAUAUACUUAUCUAUAUUUAUACAGUACGAACAUGUAUAAAUAUAGUCACCAUAUGCAGUACUGAUGUACUAUACGAUUAUAGUACAUGGUGUGUUCUGUCAUAUACCUCACGAUCCAUCACCACCCAUAACCACCCAUAGAUAUGUGACAUUCAGCUUUGUUGUUUCAAAGUGGGAAUGUGUUGUUAGUAUUAUAAUUCUAGAUACUUGAUUAAACACAAACUUUACUGGUUUUGAAGUCCAGUUCUGGCACAUAUGACUUGUAGUGCAGGAGGGUGGGUUACCAUGGCAAAGUAAACAAACUGGUACAUUCUCUGAUGGCCAGCUUCCAUCGUUAGGAUUCCUACUAUUAGGGAGGGCACAGCGUCUGUCUGUAGCAGCACAUUCAGUGUGUCUCAAAUAGCACCCUAUUCCCUCAACAUGCUGGUCCCUUCUGUAGUGACUACUCUCUGUGAUGCUUACUAGAGUUCACUCGACUGGGGUGACAAUGUUGUACAUACAGUAAGUAGCACUAGGAAGAUUCAAAGGAGAUUUUCAAUUGAUUUGGUUUAAAGAUGAAUUAUUGGACUCAAAAGGUACAAAUGUUACUGUUGUGGUAUCGGACACGCUACAGACAGUCCGAAAGACACGCUACAGACAGUCCGAAGGACACGCUACAGACAACGCUACAGACACGCUACAGACAGUCCUACAGACACGCUACAGACAGUCCUACAGACACGCUACAGACAGUCCUACGGACACGCUACAGACAGUCCUACAGACACGCUACAGACAGUCCUACGGACACGCUACAGACAGUCCUACGGACACGCUACAGACAGUCCGAAAGACACGCUACAGACAGUCCGAAAGACACGCUACAGACAGUCCGACAGACGCUACAGACAGUCCGAAAGACACGCUACAGACAGUCCGAAAGACGCUACAGACACGCUACAGACAAUCCUACAGACAGUCCUACGGACACACUACAGACAGUCCUACGGACACGCUACAGACAGUCCUACGGACACGCUACAGACAGUCCUACGGACACGCUACAGACAGUCCUACGGACAAGCUACAGACAGUCCUACGGACACGCUACAGACAGUUCUACGGACACGCUACAGACAGUCCGAAAGACACGCUACAGACAGUCCGAAAGACGCUACAGACAGUCCUACGGACACGCUACAGACAGUCCUACGGACACGCUACAGACAGUCCUACAGACACGCUACAGACAGUCCUACAGACACGCUACAGACAGUCCUACAGACACGCUACAGACAGUCCUACAGGCAGUCCUACGGACACGCUACAGACAGUCCUACGGACACGCUACAGACAGUCCUACGGACACGCUACAGACAGUCCUACAGACACGCUACAGACAGUCCUACAGGCAGUCCUACAGAGACGCUACAGACAGUCCUACAGACACGCUACAGACAGUCCGAAAGACAGUCCGAAAGACACGCUACAGACAGUCCGAAAGACACGCUACGGACACGCUACAGACAGUCCUACGGACACACUAGAGACAGUCCGAAAGACACGCUACAGACAGUCCUACGGACAAGCUACAGACAGUCCUACGGACACGCUACAGACAUUCCGACAGACAGUCCGAAAGACACGCUACAGACAGUCCGAAAGACACGCUACAGACAGUCCUACGGACACGCUACGGACAGCCCGAAAGACAGUCCGAAAGACACGCUACAGACAGUCCUACAGACAGUCCUACGGACAAGCUACAGACAGUCCUACAGACACGCUACAGACAGUCCGACAGACAGUCCGAAAGACACGCUACAGACAGUCCGAAAGACACGCUACGGACACGCUACAGACAGUCCUACGGACACGCUACAGACAGUCCUACAGACACGCUACAGACAGUUCUACGGACACGCUACAGACAGUCCUACAGACAAGCUACAGACAGUCCUACGGACAGUCCGAAAGACACGCUACAGACAGUCCUUACGGACACGCUACAGACAGUCCGAAAGACACGCUACAGACAGUCCGAAUGACAGUCCUACGGACACGCUACAGACACGCAACAGACAGUCCGAAAGACACGCUACAGACAGUCCUACAGACAGUCCUACGGACACGCUACAGACAGUCCUACAGACACGCUACAGACAGUCAUACAGACACGCUACAGACACGCUACAGACAGUCCUACAGGCAGUCCUACGGACACGCUACAGACAGUCCUACAGACACGCUACAGACAGUCCUACAGACACGCUACAGACAGUCCUACAGACAGUCCUACGGACAAGCUACAGACAGUCAUACAGACACGCUACAGACAGUCCGACAGACAGUCCGAAAGACACGCUACAGACAGUCCGAAAGACACGCUACAGACAGUCCUACGGACACGCUACAGACAGUCCUACGGACACGCUACAGACAGUCCAAAAGACACGCUACAGACAGUUCUACAGACGUCCUACAGACAGUCCUACAGACACGCUACAGACAGUCCUACAGACAGUCCUACGGACACGCUACAUACAGUCCUACAGACACGCUACAAACAGUGCUACAGACAGUCCUACGGACAAGCUACAGACAGUCCUACAGACAGUCCUACGGACAAGCUACAGACAGUCCUACAGACACGCUACAGACAGUCUGACAGACAGUCCGAAAGACACGCUACAGACAGUCCGAAAGACACGCUACAGACAGUCCGACAGACACGCUACAGACAGUCCUACAGACACGCUACAGACAGUCCUACAGACACGCUACAGACAGUCCGACAGACAUGCUACCGUCCGACAGACAGACACACUACAGACAGUCUGAAAGACACGCUACAGACGGUCCCACAGACGUGCUACAGACAGUCCUGCAGACACACGCUACAGACAGUCCUAGCUACAGACAGUCCUACAGACACACGCUGCAGACAGUCCGAAAGACAGACACGCUACAGACGGUCCUACAGACACGCUGCAGACAGACACACGCUACAGAUGGUCCGAAAGACAGACACACGCUACAGACAGUCCGAAAGACAGACACACGCUACAGACGGUCCGAAAGACAGACACACGCUACAGACGGUCCGAAAGACAGACACACGCUACAGACGGUCCGAAAGACAGACACACGCUACAGACGGUCCGAAAGACAGACACACGCUACAGACACGCUACAGACAUACAGUAGCACCCCAGUAACUGCAUCUCAGUAAGCAUCAGUAGUAUGAUUGACUGGUAUGAUUGACUAGUAUGAUUCGCUACAGACAGUCCUUCAGACAUUCAUACAGACACGCUACAGACAGUCCUUCAGACACGCUACAGACAGUCCUACAGACAUUCAUACAGACAGUCCUUCAGACACGCUACAGACAGUCCUUCAGACACGCUACAGACAGUCCUACAGACAGUCCUACAGACAUUCAUACAGACACGCUACAGAUAUGCAUACAGACACACUACAGACAUUCAUACAGACACGCUACAGAUAUGCAUACAGACACGCUACAGAUAUGCAUACAGAAACACUACAGACAUUCAUACAGACACACUACAGACAUUCAUACAGACAUGCAUACAGACACGCUACAGACAUUCAUACAGACACGUUACAGACAUACAGUAGCACCCCAGAAACUGCAUCUCAGUAAGCAUCAGUAGUAUGAUUGACUAGUAUGAUUGAUUGACUAGUAUGAUUGAUGAGUUGAUUGAUUGACAGGUGUGUUUCUGAUGAUACCACUGAGUGCUGUACAGCUGAAGCCUGUCUGUACACUAACGUGACACCACAAGACUAUGAAAGCCCACUGAGCUAAUCUCCUAGGCAUUAGCCCAGGGAGCUAACACAAAUAUUGAGCUUAAUGCAGUCAAAACGUUGCAUGCAAUCAAGUAACCAGGAGCAGUCAUUUAACAGUGUAUUCCUGUUUAACCUCCAGGUCAGACCCCGCUCUCUCUUCCUGGCCACAGUCAUAUGCUACAAUGGCACCCUAUUCCCUACAUUGUGCACUAUAUAGGGAAUAGGGUGCCAUUGGGACGCAGCCCAGUGAGGACCCCCACACUGGCUCUGGCUGCAGUCCGCUGUUAUUCUAAAUGGUAGAUUUACCAAGGCCACUAGAGAAUUCCUCUGGGCUACAGCCAAGAGCUGGCCGGCCGCACGGGGAGAGAGAGGAAAGGAGGACGAGAACUCCACUCAACGGUUCCUGAGGAGCGACUCUUUCCCUCUCCUCCUCCCACCUCUUCUUACAGUUCAGAGGUGUAUGUUGGCCAGUCAUGGAGGCUCUCCUGCCCCUCUAAGCUUCGACAUGUCUAUUCAGAUGAUGUGACAUCCUAUUGCAGUUCAUUGUCUUCUCAUUGGGCACCAGGUGUGUCACUCCAUUAAUAAUGUAACUGACAAUCUGUUCCAUACUCUGUCACUAUCUUCUGCAUUUUGUGUUCUGGGAGAAAUAGUCUGAAGUGCUUCCUGUUUCUCAGUGUUCCAUACAGCAUGUCACUUCCUCUACACCCCCAGUUGUGCUCAUGGAUUAGCUGCCCUGCCAGAAUGACCAUACAGAAUGUGGUCUGGUAUGGUUUUAAUUCACCUGUCUGAUCAUGUGUAUACAAACAGUACUAUGAACUAAGGACUCAUGAAAUCAAAAUCAACAGAAAUGUAUCUUGAUAUCAUUAAAGUGUAUUUUUGUGUGGA
rnacentral:lncRNA from 1 species